UACGUAGGGGGCGAGCGUUGUCCGGAUUUAUUGGGCGUAAAGAGCGUGUAGGCGGCCAGGUAGGUCUGCUGUGAAAACUCGAGGCUCAACCUCGAGACGUCGGCGGAAACCAUCUGGCUAGAGUCCGGAAGAGGAGAGUGGAAUUCCUGGUGUAGCGGUGAAAUGCGCAGAUAUCAGGAGGAACACCGAUUGCGAAGGCAGCUCGCUGGGACGUGACUGACGCUGAGACGCGAAAGCGUGGGGAGCAAACAGG
rnacentral:rRNA from 1 species